CAGCAGCCGCGGUAACACGUAGGGUGCGAGCGUUAAUCGGAAUUACUGGGCGUAAAGCGUGCGCAGGCGGUUAUAUAAGACAGAUGUGAAAUCCCCGGGCUCAACCUGGGACCUGCAUUUGUGACUGUAUAGCUAGAGUACGGUAGAGGGGGAUGGAAUUCCGCGUGUAGCAGUGAAAUGCGUAGAUAUGCGGAGGAACACCGAUGGCGAAGGCAAUCCCCUGGACCUGUACUGACGCUCAUGCACGAAAGCGUGUGGAGCAAACAGGAUUAGAUACCCGCGUAGUCCCUGUCUCUUAUAC
rnacentral:rRNA from 1 species